UAAUAAAACACGGGGUGCCGAAAGGCUGAGAUUAUACCCGAUGACCUGAUUUGGAUAAUGCCAACGUAGGGAUGUCUGCUUAAAAUAUU
rfam:Chryseobacterium sp. Hurlburt 01 HurlbutContig2, whole genome shotgun sequence.